rnacentral:rRNA from 1 species
AUUGAACGCUGGCGGAAUGCUUUACACAUGCAAGUCGAACGGCAGCACGGACUUCGGUCUGGUGGCGAGUGGCGAACGGGUGAGUACUGUAUCGGAACGUGCCAAGUCGUGGGGGAUAACGUAGUGAAAAUUACGCUAAUACCGCCUACGAUCUACGGAUGAAAGCGGGGGAUCGCAAGCACACGCGCGAUCAGAGCGCCCGAUAUCAGAUGAGGUAGUUGGUGGGGUAAAGGCCCACCAAGCCAAAGAUCUGUAGCUGGUCUGAGAGGACGACCAGCCACACUGGAACUGAGACACGGUCCAGACUCCUACGUGAGGCAGCAGUGGGGAAUUUUGUACAAUGGGCGAAAGCCUGAUCCAGCCAUUCCGCGUGCAGGAUGAAGGCCCUCGGGUUGUAAACUGCUUUUGUACAGAACGAAAAGGUUUCUACUAAUACUAGGAGCUCAUGACGGUACUGUAAGAAUAAGCACCGGCUAACUACGUGCCAGCCGCCGCGGUAA